rnacentral:rRNA from 1 species
CAGCAGCCGCGGUAAUACGAGGGGGGCAAGCGUUGUUCGGAAUUAUUGGGCGUAAAGGGUGCGUAGGCGGCCAUUCAAGUUAGAUGUGAAAGCCCUGGGCUCAACCUAGGAAUUGCAUUUGAUACUGUUUGGCUUGAGUUCGGGAGAGGUGAGUGGAAUUCCCAGUGUAGAGGUGAAAUUCGUAGAUAUUGGGAAGAACACCAGUGGCGAAGGCGGCUCACUGGACCGACACUGACGCUGAGGCGCGAAAGCGUGGGGAGCAAACAGGAUUAGAUACCCCCGUAGUCCCUGUCUCUUAUAA